UCCGCGUUCAAAGAAUCGCAUUCAAAGCUCACGCACAGCAGAAAAGUCUUUCUUUCCCAGGAAGAUAUCUGCAGACCCCCCACAAACUGCCCUGCGAAGGACGGGGAAAAAAAAAGCUUUGGGAGAAAGUCCCCGGACCGCCCUACCUCUUCUUUUUUUUUCUCGCGAAAAGAGAGAGAGAGAACGUCAGGACCUGCCGAGAGGCUCGACCGCCAUAAAAGCAACCUUUCACUGCGGUUCUACUUCAAGUGCCUCCCGCUCUUUCUCCGAGUUUCAUUCUAAGCCCGCUUCGAAAUCCGACCUCGCUAUCGUCUGCAUUCUCUGGCCUGGAGUUUUCCCCUCACUUACUGCUCUGUUUUGCGUCUCGACACGUGGAGAGGGAAGAAUUUUUUGUUUUGUCUGGCGCAUGGACGAAGAUAUGAGUCCGUCGCCGUAAGGAUGAACUUCUUUUCUUUUUCUGAAGCGGAGAGAGACCUUUGGAGCGUUUUGGGGGGUGUUCUUCAAGAAAGGGGAAGAGAUGGUGAGGGUUUUCAUAACAAUUGGGAGAUCGACGGGGUCGGGAUGAACUUGGGGAAUACAAAAGAGUGAUAUUUUUUGGAGGUUGCGCAAUUCGUCACAUUGUCCAAAGUUAUGCGAUUGCUCUUCCCACUUUUCCCCAGCUGCCGCGCUGGGGGUGGUGGCUACGGGAGAGUAACUCGAUGGGGCUUAUUCUUGAGGCGCGG
rnacentral:RNase_MRP_RNA from 2 species